AAGAAAAGAAAGGAAGGAGCAACUAUUGCUAAACCGAAGUCGUAUGAUUUGCUGGUGCCGCACUUCUGUGUCGUCCUUUAGGGUGAUUGUCUGCGAGAACUGGAAACGUUUUUUACGGCGCCGUUCCUCGUUGCAGCGUCGGGUGAAAUUCUCUCUUCCGGCAGCCCAUCUCACCGUAAAACCCAUCAUUCGGACAAAUUUUCUCCAAUUUGAGAUAGCAAUGGAGUCCCUGCAAAAUGACGAGAACGCCCCCGCCGCCACCCAAACCAUGUCGAAGAACGCCCAGAAGCGGCUGCUCAAGCAGCAGCGGGACGAGGCGAAGAAAGCGGAGAAAAAGGCUCAGAUGAAGGAGCACAAGAAGAGGGAGGUCGAGCGCAAACGGAAGGAAUGGCAGGAGAGAUUGGCGAGCGUGGGCGAGGAGGAGAAGGAAAAGCUGAUUGAGGAGAGGAAAGAGCUGAGGAAAGAGCGCAUGGAAAAACGUACGGAGGAAAGGGGAAAGAAAAUCGAGAGGCUGCAAGAAGCGAGGAUUAAUGGCCAGAAUAUUGUUAUUGAUCUUGAGUUUUCUCAUCUCAUGAGCACUAAUGAACUGCAUAGCCUCGUUCAACAGAUUAUGUAUUGCUAUGCAAUAAAUGGAAGAUGUGCCUUGCCGGCCCAUCUUUGGCUAACAGGUUGUCAGGGAGAAAUGCAAAAUCAGCUUCUGCGGAUCCCAGGAUAUGAUAAGUGGGUAAUCGAGAAGGAGGAUGUGUCCUAUAUAGAAGCUUUUCAAGAUCAGAAAGAAAAGUUGGUGUAUCUCACAGCUGAUUCUGAAACCAUUCUGGAUGAACUUGAUCCAAAAGCAGUAUAUAUCAUUGGUGGUUUAGUGGAUAGGAACCGCUGGAAAGGCAUUACUAUGAAGAAAGCAAAAGAGCAAGGGAUCAAAACUGCCAAGCUGCCGAUAGGAGCUUACCUGAAGAUGUCUAGCUCUCAGGUCCUUACCGUUAAUCAUGUUGUCGAGAUACUUCUCAAGUUCUUGGAAACAAAAGACUGGAAGGAUUCAUUUUUUCAGGUGAUUCCUCAAAGGAAAAGAUGUGAAGCUGGCUCCGAGGACAACACAGAAGAGGUUUUGUCAGAAGGCUUUUUGGAAGAGGGAGAUGAGAUAAUGCCUGAAAGACAAGAAGGGGCAGAGGCAGAUAACGGAAAUGAUAAAGAUGUUCAAAAGAUAGGAAAGCUAGAAGAGGAAGACUGUGUACUUAUAGAUGAUCAAAAGGCAAAAAGGCAGUGCAUUGAAGCAUAGAGUUAGCCGUGACUUUCUUUUUUCACUUGGGAGGCAACAAACUCCAGUUCAAAGUUUCGUGGACAGUGUCUCUCGCAACUUUACAACUGCUCCUUGCACUGCGGAAAUGGUUCAAUGCAUGCUACUGGAGCUUGUGAGGGACCAGCAUUAGCUGCAUCCUUGAAGAAAGUCAUUGGUGCCGCAGCUCCAUAGAACCCAUGAUGAUGAGCCAUGUG